UACGUAGGGUGCGAGCGUUGUCCGGAAUUACUGGGCGUAAAGAGCUCGUAGGUGGUUUGUCGCGUUGUUCGUGAAAACUCACAGCUUAACUGUGGGCGUGCGGGCGAUACGGGCAGACUGGAGUACUGCAGGGGAGACUGGAAUUCCUGGUGUAGCGGUGGAAUGCGCAGAUAUCAGGAGGAACACCGGUGGCGAAGGCGGGUCUCUGGGCAGUAACUGACGCUCAUACACGACAGCAUGGGGAGCGAACGGG
rnacentral:rRNA from 1 species